rnacentral:misc_RNA from 1 species
UCCCUAAAUCGCAAUAAUAGGACUGAGAAAAUUCCUGUAGCAUACUGAAAUAUGGCAGGUGACUGUGAAACUGAUGCUUUUAGUAAAACAUAUGAAAGAUAAGCCUUGACGGAGUCCAUAAACUGAAAGUUUUUCGUGAACGAAUCACUAACUCCCUCCAAAAGACCCUGAAGUAGCUCCAGGGACAAAAUACGUGUCUUAACAGUAACUUCAUCGUUGUCUUCCUUUAUGCCCAUCUUGCAAAGGGUUCGGAAAAGAAGUAAGGCAUCAUGCUCUCCAGGACUCAUGCUUUCAAGCUCAAUUCCUUUUGUGACCUUUUCACCAUCUCCAAGAUGCACAGCCUUCUCAAGAGCAGCUUCUAAACCCUUGAUAUCAGCCCCACCAACAAAACUCUGAAGUUCCUCAACUGAUGCAACAGAUGCAUCUUUAGCCUGAACAACGUUAGGUGCAUCUCCCCCUUCUGUUAUUUCUUUAUAUUCCGGAUCAUUAUGUGAAACUUCCUCAACCUUUACGUUUGGUCCAUUAGUAUCAGUAGUUUCUUGGUGUGCAACAGAUCCAUGUGAUCUAGAACCCAGAUCAUUUUCCAUCCGUCUGAAUAUAAUACUAAGCAUUUGUGUCAACAUGGCCUUUGAUGUUGCUUGGUUUAUAGGACUUUUGCUGUUAAGAGCAAUAUUGUAACAGACCCUGAUAACUCCGAGCAACGAUUCCCCAUGAACUCUAAACUUGGCGGAUGCUACAGCGGUAAGAAGUACCUUCAGAACCUGAAGAGUCGUACUAUCGGUAGACAAAUUAUCCACACAGCCACAGACCCUGUUCAGGAUGUCUGUAAACAGCGUCACAUUUUCCCCACCAUCUAAGCCAAGAUCUCCCUCUAGAUGGUCGUAGGCAAUCAGUUUAUGAAGACAAUCCAAAGCAAGCUCCAUGAUCUUUCCAUUCUUCGUCUCAAAAGCCAGCCGAAGUGGAUUUAGCACGAGUUCUGCCUGUGCUUGGCUUAAAGUAUUGCCUGCUUGAGCUAAAGCUGUCACUAUAGUUCCACUUUGGUUUGAUGGCCUGCUUAUCUGUUCUGCACCCUCACCACUAGGCAAAGCAGUAGUUGAGUCAACUGGUGCUGCUUCAUUUCCCGAGACUCCAGUGUCAGUAGAACUCUGAUCUACAGCUGAAGAUGUUGCAGCAUCACUCUCAGUGGAUAAGCUUUGCUGACUAGAUGCUUUUGAAUUGUCAAUAUAGGAUUGGAUAGCUAUCUGAAGAGCAGAAUACUUCUUAUUAGAACACUCUUUGAGCAUUGAUUCCAAUGCUCGAGUGAUG